GCCCGCCUAGCUCAAUCGGAUAGAGCGUCAGACUUUUACAAGCAUCUGGGCGGGUAGAUCUGAAGGCUGCGAGUUCGACCCUCGCGGUGGGCU